CUUUUACUUCAACCCCAUCUUUCUCUGCUCUUGGAAUGUUCUCCUUUAGCAGAUCCUGAUACUUUGGUUCAAUCCUGCGAAGAAAGCCAAAAUGA